UUUUUUUCUUGUUUCCACUUUUGGUUUGUAAUCUCUGUUCAUGAAUUUGUUGUUUGUUUUCCAGGGAAGAGUUGGAGCUGGUGCCCAGUCCGGGUUGGGAAGGGCUGGGACCAUCCCUGGAGAGGAUCUGACGUCCCCUCUGAGAAGGCUGAGGACAUCCUUUGGGACAUGCUCUUCUUGCGGCAGCAGAUCUUGUGAGACAGGACACCUCUGCCUGAUCUCCCGCGGAUCCGAGGGAUCUCUGGAUCUUCACGCCAGCACCAGGACUUUGCUGCAGAAGAGCACAGAUCCCCUGCCCAGUCUGGGACACAGAACCUGUGAAAGGGCAGAAAGAUUGUGGUGUGAAUGCAGCGCCCUCAGAGCCCUUGGUGUGAGCCCGGAAAGGAAAAUCAAGCUGAGGGACAAGAUCAGUCUAAUUUGGGGACAUUGUUGGAGGUUGGAGUUGCAGUUCUGGAAGAAAUCCCUGAGGAAAUGGUGCCCCCGGGGAGAGGAAGAGGACGAGAGCAUGGGCAGCCUGCUUCAAACAUCCCCCCCAGGAGACCUGGGAUCAGUCCCUGUGCAUCCUGUAAGAAAGAUGGACACUGGAAAUGGGAUUGUCCGCAACUGAAACUUCAGAACCCUCCGAACCCUCUCGUGGCAUCACUGAAGACGACUGAGGGGGCACCAGAGGAUUCUUCCCCAUCAGAACAUCUGGUUCCAGCCAAGCUAAGCACAAUUGUUUGUGGCUGUGGGAACUUGUUCCUCUGUGUUAAAUCCGGGAAAAUGAAACUCAAGGGACAAUUCUAGAACAAUUGUCUGGUGUGCCAGGGAAUUGGGAAACUGGGCCAUUUUUAAUGCUGUGGCUUUGAAAUUGGGAAAACAGUGGUUGGCUCCCCAGUUUUUGUAUUUCCCCAAUUCCCCAAAGCCUCUGCUUGGGAGAGAUCUCUUGGCAAAAUGAAAUGCCACAAUCCAAUUGAAAAAUGGUCCAAUAUAGGUUAUUAUUGCAGAGCCUAAUUCUGGGGAAGUUUCUAGUUUUGCAUGAGAGUCUCCCAAAGCAGAAGUAAUCCAUCUGCCACCAUCACUUGGGGAUGCAGUGGUUCCAACAGGAUGGGCUGGAGAGGUGCCUCCAUGAUCCAAGAGAGCAGAACCCGUGAGAAUUCCAGAGAAACCUGGAGUGGGGUUGGUGGGGCCAAAGCAAUGUCCUUUGCAAAUAGAAAGUUGUAAGGGAUUCUCACCCUUUGUAGAACAAUUGAUGAAAUUUUGCUUGUGAAAAGAAUGUGAAUCUAAAUGGAA